UACGUAGGUGGCAAGCGUUGUCCGGAUUUACUGGGCGUAAAGAGCGCGCAGGCGGUCGUUCAAGUCGCGUGUGAAAGCCCCCCGGCUCAACUGGGGAGGGUCACGCGAUACUGAUCGACUCGAAGGCAGGAGAGGGUAGUGGAAUUCCCGGUGUAGUGGUGAAAUGCGUAGAUAUCGGGAGGAACACCAGUGGCGAAGGCGACUACCUGGCCUGUUCUUGACGCUGAGGCGCGAAAGCUAGGGGGAGCAAACGGG
rnacentral:rRNA from 1 species